GACGGAGGGUGCUAGCGUUGUUCGGAAUUACUGGGCGUAAAGGGCGCGUAGGCGGCCUGGUCAGUCGGGUGUGAAAGCCCGGGGCUCAACCCCGGAACGGCACCCGAGACGGUCAGGCUGGAGACCGGGAGAGGAGGGUGGAAUAGCCAGUGUAGAGGUGAAAUUCGUAGAUAUUGGCUGGAACACCGGUGGCGAAAGCGGCUCUCUGGCCCGGUUCUGACGCUGAGGCGCGAAAGCGUGGGGAGCAAACAGG
rnacentral:rRNA from 1 species